AGAGUUUGAUCCUGGCUCAGGACGAACGCUGGCGGCACGCUUAACACAUGCAAGUCGAACGAGAGAAGAGGAGCUUGCUUUUCUGAUCUAGUGGCGGACGGGUGAGUAACACGUGAGCAAUCUGCCUUUCAGGGGGGGAUACCGAUUGGAAACGAUCGUUAAUACCGCAUAACAUAAUUGAACCGCAUGAUUUGAUUAUCAAAGAUUUAUCGCUGAAAGAUGAGCUCGCGUCUGAUUAGCUAGUUGGUAAGGUAACGGCUUACCAAGGCGACGAUCAGUAGCCGGACUGAGAGGUUGAUCGGCCACAUUGGGACUGAGACACGGCCCAGACUCCUACGGGAGGCAGCAGUGGGGAAUAUUGCACAAUGGAGGAAACUCUGAUGCAGCGAUGCCGCGUGAGGGAAGAAGGUUUUAGGAUUGUAAACCUCUGUCUUCAGGGACGAAAAAAGACGGUACCUGAGGAGGAAGCUCCGGCUAACUACGUGCCAGCAGCCGCGGUAAUACGUAGGGAGCGAGCGUUGUCCGGAAUUACUGGGUGUAAAGGGAGCGUAGGCGGGAUCGCAAGUCAGAUGUGAAAACUAUGGGCUUAACCCAUAAACUGCACUUGAAACUGUGGUUCUUGAGUGAAGUAGAGGUAAGCGGAAUUCCUAGUGUAGCGGUGAAAUGCGUAGAUAUUAGGAGGAACAUCAGUGGCGAAGGCGGCUUACUGGGCUUUAACUGACGCUGAGGCUCGAAAGCGUGGGGAGCAAACAGGAUUAGAUACCCUGGUAGUCCACGCCGUAAACGAUGAUUACUAGGUGUGGGGGGACUGACCCCUUCCGUGCCGCAGCAAACGCAAUAAGUAAUCCACCUGGGGAGUACGACCGCAAGGUUGAAACUCAAAUGAAUUGACGGGGCCCGCACAAGCAGUGGAGUAUGUGGAUUAAUUCGAAGCAACGCGAAGAACCUUACCAGGUCUUGACAUCGUAUGCAUAGCUCAGAGAUGAGUGAAAUCUCUACGGAGACAUAUAGACAGGUGGUGCAUGGUUGUCGUCAGCUCGUGUCGUGAGAUGUUGGGUUAAGUCCCGCAACGAGCGCAACCCUUACUGUUAGUUGCUACGCAAGAGCACUCUAGCAGGACUGCCGUUGACAAAACGGAGGAAGGUGGGGAUGACGUCAAAUCAUCAUGCCCCUUAUGACCUGGGCCUCACACGUACUACAAUGGCUGUCAACAGAGGGAAGCAAAGCCGCGAGGUGGAGCGAACCCCUAAAAGCAGUCUUAGUUCGGAUUGUAGGCUGCAACCCGCCUACAUGAAGUCGGAAUUGCUAGUAAUCGCAGAUCAGCAUGCUGCGGUGAAUACGUUCCCGGGCCUUGUACACACCGCCCGUCACGCCAUGGGAGUCGGUAACACCCGAAGCCUGUAGUCUAACCGCAAGGAGGACGCAGUCGAAGGUGGGAUUGAUGACUGGGGUGAAGUCGUAACAAGGUA
rnacentral:rRNA from 1 species